rnacentral:rRNA from 1 species
GGUUAAGUUAAUAAGGGCGCACGGUGGAUGCCUUGGCACUAGAAGCCGAAGAAGGACGUGACAAACGACGAAAUGCUUUGGGGAGCUGUAAGUAAGCGCUGAUCCAGAGAUGUCCGAAUGGGGGAACCCACUAACUAAUGGUUAGUAUCCAUAACUGUUAAGGUUAUGAGAAGGAAGACGCAGUGAACUGAAACAUCUAAGUAGCUGCAGGAAGAGAAAGCAAACGCGAUUGCCUUAGUAGCGGCGAGCGAAACGGCAGGAGGGCAAACCGAAGUGUUUACACUUCGGGGUUGUAGGACUGCGACGUGGGACUUUAAAAGGAUAGAAGAAUUACCUGGGAAGGUAAGCCAAAGAGAGUAAAAGCCUCGUAUUUAAAAUUCUUUUGAGCCCUAGCAGUAUCCUGAGUACGGCGAGACACGUGAAAUCUCGUUGGAAUCUGGGAGGACCAUCUCCCAACCCUAAAUACUCUCUAGUGACCGAUAGUGAACCAGUACCGUGAGGGAAAGGUGAAAAGCACCCCGGGAGGGGAGUGAAAUAGAACCUGAAACCGUGUGCCUACAACAAGUUCGAGCCCGUUAAUGGGUGAGAGCGUGCCUUUUGUAGAAUGAACCGGCGAGUUACGAUAUGAUGCGAGGUUAAGUUGAAGAGACGGAGCCGUAGGGAAACCGAGUCUUAAUAGGGCGAUUUAGUAUCAUGUUGUAGACCCGAAACCAUGUGACCUACCCAUGAGCAGGUUGAAGGUGAGGUAAAACUCACUGGAGGACCGAACCAGGGCACGUUGAAAAGUGCUUGGAUGACUUGUGGGUAGCGGAGAAAUUCCAAACGAACUUGGAGAUAGCUGGUUCUCUCCGAAAUAGCUUUAGGGCUAGCGUCGAUGUUAAGUCUCUUGGAGGUAGAGCACUGUUUGGGUGAGGGGUCCAUCUCGGAUUACCAAUCUCAGAUAAACUCCGAAUGCCAACGAGAUAUCAUCGGCAGUCAGACUGCGAGUGCUAAGAUCCGUAGUCGAAAGGGAAACAGCCCAGACCACCAGCUAAGGUCCCAAAAUAACUGUUAAGUGGAAAAGGAUGUGGGGUUGCACAGACAACUAGGAUGUUAGCUUAGAAGCAGCUAUUCAUUCAAAGAGUGCGUAAUAGCUCACUAGUCGAGUGACCCUGCGCCGAAAAUGUACCGGGGCUAAAACAGUUUACCGAAGCUGUGGAUGACACAAAAGUGUCAUGGUAGGAGAGCGUUCUAUGUGUGAAGAAGGUGUACCGUGAGGAGCGCUGGAACGCAUAGAAGUGAGAAUGCCGGUAUGAGUAGCGAAAGACAGGUGAGAAUCCUGUCCACCGUAAGACUAAGGUUUCCAGGGGAAGGCUCGUCCGCCCUGGGUUAGUCGGGACCUAAGGAGAGACCGAAAGGUGUAUCCGAUGGCCAACAGGUUGAUAUUCCUGUACUAGAGUAUAUAGUGAUGGAGGGACGCAGUAGGCUAACUAAACCGGACGAUUGGAAGAGUCCGGCUAAGCAGUGAGGUGUAAGAUGAGUCAAAUGCUUAUCUUUAUAACAUUGAGCUGUGAUGGGGAGCGAAUUUUAGUAGCGAAGUUAGUGAUGUCACACUGCCAAGAAAAGCUUCUAGCGUUUAAUGAUACUCUACCCGUACCGCAAACCGACACAGGUAGUCGAGGCGAGUAGCCUCAGGUGAUCGAGAGAACUCUCGUUAAGGAACUCGGCAAAAUGACCCCGUAACUUCGGGAGAAGGGGUGCUGACUUAGGUCAGCCGCAGUGAAUAGGCCCAAGCAACUGUUUAUCAAAAACACAGCUCUCUGCUAAAUCGUAAGAUGAUGUAUAGGGGGUGACGCCUGCCCGGUGCUGGAAGGUUAAGAGGAGGGUUUAGCGCAAGCGAAGAUCUGAAUUGAAGCCCCAGUAAACGGCGGCCGUAACUAUAACGGUCCUAAGGUAGCGAAAUUCCUUGUCGGGUAAGUUCCGACCC